GACUCCGUAGCUUCAAGAAUAGAAGCGCCCGUCUAGCGAAUUGGAAGUCGUGAGUUCGAGUCUCACCGGAGUAC
rnacentral:tRNA from 1 species